rnacentral:lncRNA from 1 species
GGAUGAGUACACAGGGAAGUUUCCUACCUCAGAAAGAACCCUGGACUAAGUCGGAAGACCUGGCUGUCAACUCCAGCUCUUUCUCUUUGCCGAUGUGACCUUGAGCCUUGGUUUCUCCCUCUGUCAGGUGGGGAGAGGGAUGUAGCCCCACCUACCUGCCGCCUAGGGUGUUGUGAAAUUCUGAUGAAAUAAGGCCAGUGAAAGAGUGUCAUCAUCAGGUGGCCCUGGAGAGGAAAAGUGGCUGAGAAUCCCCUGCAAUGCUGGUGAUUCUAUUAGGCAACAGUAGCAGAGCAUGUACCUGCCCAUCACUCCCGCUGCCCUCAAGCACAGCUUCCAAGGGACACCAUCAGCCGGGACUAGGACUCCAAUGGCAAGGCUGGGAGACUGGGAGACCUGCCUGGCCGGAGGCCGGCUGCACCACGAUUUCCUUCCUGGCUUCAGUGAGAGUUUCCACCCAGUCUGGCAGUGAAGUAGUGCCAGGAUCUUCUUCAGGAGCAUGUUUCCAGGUUUGUGCAGGCUUCCCACUGCAGCUGCCAUGCAGCAGAAACUGAAUGAUUCCAUAAAGUCAAGAAAUAACCAUGAUGGCUCUUCGUAAGC